UAGAUAUGCUUCCACACACUCACUCUCUUCUCCAACUCUUCUACACUCUCAUUUGAUUAGUCUGGCGCAGCGCCAGACUACAUUUGACCAUGCUACCCCGACCCGAGCUUCAUGACCUGGCAGUGGAGAAUUCUCAGAUUCUUUUGCUGUAGAUUUUGUGUUGCGCCCAUUGCAUUGGUGGUGUGGCUAGUGCUUCCUAAUACUCAAAGAUGGUGUCAGCUCUGAAUCUGAGAGUGGUCCUGCUGCAUCAGGUUCACACAACUUGUUGGAUGGAAUGGCUAAUUCUGUCAGAAAAGAUGGUGUUCUCUCUUUUCUCUCAUUGGGUAAUUGCAGAAUAAGGAACAAGUAUAACAAGAAAAGGAAGUUGGAUGUAAAGUAUCAAGUAAAGAUGAACAGGUAUGC